CCUACGGGAGGCAGCAGUGGGGAAUAUUGCACAAUGGGCGCAAGCCUGAUGCAGCGACGCCGCGUGAGGGAUGACGGCCUUCGGGUUGUAAACCUCUGUUAGCAGGGAAGAAGAGAGAUUGACGGUACCUGCAGAGAAAGCGCCGGCUAACUACGUGCCAGCAGCCGCGGUAAUACGUAGGGCGCGAGCGUUGUCCGGAAUUAUUGGGCGUAAAGAGCUUGUAGGCGGUUUGUCGCGUCUGCUGUGAAAGGCCGGGGCUUAACUCCGUGUAUUGCAGUGGGUACGGGCAGACUAGAGUGCAGUAGGGGAGACUGGAAUUCCUGGUGUAGCGGUGGAAUGCGCAGAUAUCAGGAGGAACACCGAUGGCGAAGGCAGGUCUCUGGGCUGUAACUGACGCUGAGAAGCGAAAGCAUGGGGAGCGAAC
rnacentral:rRNA from 1 species